rnacentral:rRNA from 1 species
UGUGACGCCAGUCGCAUCGCCGGGUAGCUAUGUUCGGAAGGGAUAACCGCUGAAAGCAUCUAAGCGGGAAGCCUACCUCAAGAUAAGAUUUCCCUAGGACUUUAUGUCCUCUAAAGAGCCGUUCGAGACUAGGACGUUGAUAGGUUGGAUGUGGAAGCAUAGUGAUAUGUGAAGCUGACCAAUACUAAUUGCUCGUGAGGCUUGACUAUACAACACCCAAGCAGUUG